GGAUGCUGGGAGAGAAAAGGAGGGUGACCUUGAGCGAGCCACUGGGCCUCCCCUCACAUCUCCCUCCUCCCAAAGGCGGGGGCAGCUCCAGCCAAUCCUGAACCCGCAGCCCUGCCAGACAGACUGGGACUGUCCCAAGCUCUGGCCCACGCGAGGCUGGCCUCUGCGGUGUGGUGCCUGGGACCCCAGCCAGGCCCUCAGUGGCCACAGCCAAGGGGCUAAGCUUGGGGAGGGAGCACUGUGAAGAGGCUGAGAGAAGGUGACAGAGGUGACAGUCUGGUGCUUGGCACCGCCUCAGCACUGCAGCCUCGUGAGGAGGGGGCUAAAGGAGUGUGAACCAAAGGGUCCCACCCUAGGCCUGGCCACAAAUGUUCUCCCAAGGCUGAGCCUGGCACCCCGAAGAG